UACGUAGGGGGCAAGCGUUGUCCGGAUUUAUUGGGCGUAAAGCGCACGCAGGCGGUCUCUUAAGUUUUGAGUGACAGGUGGUGGCUCAACUACCACAGGGCUUGGAAACUGGGAGACUUGAGGACUUCAGAGGGAUGCGGAAUUCCAGGUGGAGCGGAUGAAAUGCGUAGAGAUCUGGAAGAACACCAAAGGCGAAGGCAGCCAUCCUGGACCGGUAUUGACGCCUGAGGCGCAAAAGCUAGGGGAGGCAAAACGGGAUUG
rnacentral:rRNA from 1 species